GGAAAAUGAACCAGAAGGAGCUUGCUGACACACUGGAGAAAAAUUCAGAUGAGCUUGCUGUGAUUUGCCAACGUGAACUCAAAUCUAAUCUAAAGAAGAAGUUUCAAUGUGUAUUUGAGGGGAUCGC